CCGGUGAUAAGCCGGAGGAAGGUGGGGAUGACGUCAAGUCCUCAUGGCCCUUAUGGACUGGGCUACACACGUGCUACAAUGGCAUCUACAGUGGGCAGCUAUCACGCGAGUGUGAGCUAAUCUCCAAAAGAUGUCUCAGUUCGGAUUGUUCUCUGCAACUCGAGAGCAUGAAGGCGGAAUCGCUAGUAAUCGCGGAUCAGCAUGCCGCGGUGAAUACGUUCCCAGGCCUUGUACACACCGCCCGUCACACCAUGGGAGUGGGUUGCACCAGAAGUGGCUAGUCUAACUUAGGAGGACGGUCACCACGGUGUGAUUCAUGACUGGGGUGAAGUCGGAACAAGGUAGCCGUAGGGGGACCUGCGGCUGGAUCACC
rnacentral:rRNA from 1 species